GACGAACGCUGGCGGCGCGCCUAACACAUGCAAGUCGAGCGAUGAAAUUUUAACCGAUCUCUUCGGAGAGAAGAUAAAAUGGAUUAGCGGCGGACGGGUGAGUAACACGUGAGAAACCUGCCUUUCACAAGGGGAUAGCCUCGGGAAACCGGCAUUAAUACCCUAUGACACAUUUCCUUCGCAUGGAAGAAAUGUUAAAACUCCGGUGGUGAAAGAUGGUCUCGCGCCUGAUUAGCUAGUUGGUGGGGUAACGGCCCACCAAGGCCAUGAUCAGUAACCGGCCUGAGAGGGUGAACGGUCACAUUGGAACUGAGACACGGUCCAAACUCCUACGGGAGGCAGCAGUGGGGAAUAUUGCACAAUGGAGGAAACUCUGAUGCAGCGACGCCGCGUGAGCGAUGAAGGCUUUCGAGUCGUAAAGCUCUGUCCUAUGGGAAGAUAAUGACGGUACCAUAGGAGGAAGCCCCGGCUAACUACGUG
rnacentral:rRNA from 1 species